AGUUCUGCAAGGAGAUUGGAAGAAAAUGUGAGGACUGAGCCCAUAAGAAUAUUUUUCUUUCUGUUUUUAUCAGGGGGCAUUUUGACUAUCAGCAUUUUUAUUUACUUGCUCUGGCUUUGGCAUGAUUUGCUAUUGGAGAGAUAUAACAGUAUUGUUUUUCUUCUGAUGGAGACAAAAUAUUCAUUUAUAAUCCUGCCGCCCUGCCGCACCCCGCCCCCUUCUGCCACCACCAAGUGAUCAUCCAGCUGACACUUGAGGAACUUUGAUGAUGAGGAGUUCAUCAGUCAUUGGUCAGACUAUUAAAUCUUUCCACAGCUUAGUGAGUUUAUUAUAGUUUUCUUGAUGCAUAAUUCUGCCUGCUACAGAGAUAGAAUUACUUAAGGAUGUUUGAAAUACAGGUAUACCUCAGAGAUACUGCAGGUUUGGUUCCAGACCACCAUAAUAAAGUGAAUAUAACAAUAAAAUGAGUCACACAAUUUUUUUAGUUUCCCAAUGCAUGCAUAUAAAAGGUAUGUUUAUACUACAUGGUAGUCAGUUAAGUAUGCAAUUGCAUUAUGUCUAUAAAAGAGUACAUUCCUUAAUUUAAAAAUACUUUAUUUCUAAAAAAACGUUAACAAACCUCUGAGUCUUUGAAGAGUUGUUAUCUUUUUGCUGAGGGAGGCUCUAAUUGAGGGGUGCCAACUCAUUAAGGUGGUGGUUGCUGAAGGUUGAAUGGCUAUGGGAAUUUUUUAAAUGAGCCAACAAUAAAAUUUAAGACAUCAAUUGACACUUUUACAAAAAUAUUUCUG
rnacentral:lncRNA from 1 species